AUAAUACCUGGUCCAGCCUAUCUAGCAUCGUAGAUGUCACUGCUGCACCAGCUGUGGCUGCUUCCAUGUGAAUAUACUUCCAGGACUAUAAUCAUUCAGGAACUUACCUCCGUGCUGGGUAUCCUGGGGAAUUGACCCCACAGCAGCGGGGUCAAGACAGCUUCAGGAUGCUAGACCAAGGCUGAGCUUCAUGGGCCAGCUCACUUCAAUUCUCCCUGCUUACUGCCAUCACUUGUUGCCCAGCACAAAGGCAGGGCAGCCUCAAAGACAUGGAACGAAUUUAGGGAAGGGAAACCAUAUCACCUUCACCCAUAACUGAUUCUCUCCUAACUCUUAGGAGCCUCAGAAAAGGUUCUCCAACAUUAAGAUGGUGCUACCAAAAUCGGGUUGCCUGGUCACCCUAUCACAGUCGCACCCAGAAGAAAAGCAGCUGACUUAUCUGGAACUUUAAGAGUGAUCCAGAUCAGAUAUGGAACAUUCCUUUUUCCAGAAUGUCCUUAUUCUCCUGUCUCCAUGAAUUAUAAGGAGUGGACUCAAAGCAGAGAAGCGGUUGAUCAUCAGGAAUGAACUGAAGGCUGAAAAGGUAAGUGAAAACACCAUGUGACUUCACCAGCAGAAGAGACUUUCCUUUCAUCUUGGCUACAGUAGAGUGAUGGUCUGUCGUCAGCAGAGGAGGACGUAGAGGAUGACCAGGGCAAUGAUUUUCUUGAUUGCUAUGACCUCAAGCAUCACCCAAAGGGAGUGGUCAGGACCAUGGAGAUGCUGGACCUGCCAGUAGUGUCUGUUUAGGACAAACACCAUGAACCUGAUGGCUAUACAAAUGAGCCCCAUGAAGAGCAGAGCAUGGAGAGAGUACAAGAUUGUGGCUGCCAGGGUGGUUUCUGCAAUGAAAUUAUCUUCUGAGAUGUAUUUGAGAUCAAAUAUGAUUCAUAGUCUGCUGCCAUUUUGGAGACCUCUCAUGUAUAUCACUGGAUCAAAAUCAAUCAGCAAAUUGAUGACCCAGGAAAGGAGGCAGGAGGGAACGGCAUACUUGGGUAAUUUGGCUUUGUCCCUUGCCUACCGGGAGGUGCCGGGCCUGAAGGUGGCGGCCUGGAAGAUGCUCAGGAGAGAGGUGUUGCAGCUGGCAAGGCUCUGGGCCACUCGAUAAAGGUAGAUGUGGAUUAUA